GCAGUCGUGGCCCAGUGGUUAAGGCGAUGAACUAGAAAUCCAUUGGGGUCUCCCCGCACAGGUUUAAAUCCUGUCGGCUGCG
rnacentral:tRNA from 1 species